AGUGAACGCUGGCGGUAGGCCUAACACAUGCAAGUCGAACGGCAGCACAGAGGAGCUUGCUCCUUGGGUGGCGAGUGGCGGACGGGUGAGGAAUACAUCGGAGUCUACUCUGUCUUGGGGGAUAACGUAGGGAAACUUACGCUAAUACCGCAUACGACCUACGGGUGAAAGCAGGGGAUCUUCGGACCUUGCGCGAUUGAAUGAGCCGAUGUCGGAUUAGCUAGUUGGCGGGGUAAAGGCCCACCAAGGCGACGAUCCGUAGCUGGUCUGAGAGGAUGAUCAGCCACACUGGAACUGAGACACGGUCCAGACUCCUACGGGAGGCAGCAGUGGGGAAUAUUGGACAAUGGGCGCAAGCCUGAUCCAGCCAUACCGCGUGGGUGAAGAAGGCCUUCGGGUUGUAAAGCCCUUUUGUUGGGAAAGAAAUCCAUCUGGUUAAUACCCGGGUGGGAUGACGGUACCCAAAGAAUAAGCACCGGCUAACUUCGUGCCAGCAGCCGCCGUAA
rnacentral:rRNA from 1 species